ensembl:lncRNA
GGUGCACGGUGGGAACCGAGCCUCCCCAGGGUGCCAUGAAAUCCCUGAGGGCCGGGACCCAGUUUCUCCUCCUUUUUCUCUCUUUGCUCCACCUUCCUGGGUCUGCCUACUCUUUUCCACCUCCAGCCGUAUGCUCAUGCCGUUCCCUCUUCCUGAAAUAAUCUUUCUCGUUAUUUCUCCUAAAGCUCUAAUAUAGUUCUUGGAGGCUUCAGGCCCCAGCUGGGAUGCCUCACAAAGCGAAUCUGGGGUAGAUUUUCAAUAAACUCCUCACUUAUCUCCUGCUGCAGCCAAGCCCCCAGGACCCCAUCUCCUUGGAGGAGCCAAGUGGGGUGGCUGCAGCCUCUGCAAGCAAGCUGACUCCUUUGGGGCAUAAUUCACCCUUUCUCAUAGCCUCUGUCCCCCGAGGCCAAGCCUACAGGGUCCAUCUCUGCAGAUUUUCUGCCCACGAGUUCCCUGGAGCACAGAGAACACUCCCAAGAGAGAGAGUCCUUGUCACACCACUCAUGAUCUCCCAGGCUGCUUCUCUCCAGUGCUUAGCACAUGGAGAUGCAUUCAUUUUUUUGUGAGCACAUUUAUUGACUGCGUGGCUCCCAUGCCAGCCUGGACACUCUGUGAGGCCAGGCUCUGCCUCUGGUUUCCCCACUCAGUCCCCAGCACCCAGCCUAGUCCUGGUGCAUAGGAGACGCUUGCCACACAGCUGCUGUGUGGGUGGAUGGACGGAUGCAUGAAGAAUCCGUGGUGUGGAGCACAUGGGGAAGUGGCCUUUGUUCUUCCAUAUAGAACAGCAGAGGCGGGAAGACCAAGGAUCAGAAAUUCCAGAGGUGGGGAGGACGGUGGAAGUGGAUGCACCUGGGGGACCGUCUCAGAGGGGCUGGCCCACUCCUACUGCGCCAGAUCUGGAGGUGUGCUCCUGUCUGAACUCCAUCCUGCCUGCUGCCCAGCGACUCCCUGGCUUCCUCCCUGUCACAUGGGACUCCCGCACCCGGUGCUGUCCAGGGACCCCCCACACUCCACACCCUCCGGACCUCGCAGGACAUUUCCAGGUCUGGCCACAAGGUGGAGCGUGGCAGCUGCAGGACAGUGCUGGGGGCCGGGCUGCGGAGGAGCCUGGACCUGCGCCCGGUGACCUCCCCGCUCUGUGAACGUGUGGGAGUUUGUGUCUGUGCAUCCAGAGAACCAGAGGGCUGUGGUUGACUUGCCGUGCUCCCCCCAACCCCCCACUGGGAUUGCCUGGGUCUCUGGGGGAUCACUGAGAAGCUGGAUAAAGAGGGCUGGCACUGUUGCCUCGGCUCACUAAUGCCUCAUGGUUUUACAGGUGAGGAGACUGAGGCCCAGAGAAGGAAGUCACGUGCUGAGGUCACUGACUAAUCAGUGGCUGAUCUGGUCGAACCCAGAUCUCUUGAGCUGUAAGGUCUCUGCUUUUCCUGUGGCAUGGAGAGGGGCUUCUCCCACCUAGGGAGGGGAGAUCCUGUUGUACUGGGGAGGCAGGGGAUUAAAGAUGGACUGAGAGGUUAGGGUCCCAGAAACCAAGGGGCAAUCCCUGUCCCAGAGAACCGGCCUCAAGGGUGGGGAUGGGGUAGGGGCAGCGGAUAAGGGGUCUGCCCAGGGCUUCUUGGGUUCCCUUCUAGGGUUCCUGGGCACCCAGGGCUGCGGCACUUGCCCCGGGCUAGAGGGUCAACCAGGCCCUGCAUGGUGCCCACCGCUCCCUCCCGUGCACUGCAGGGGACCCUUGUCCAUCCCUUUAGCUCGUCUGGACCCCCCUCAAUGGCUCCUGCUGUCUUUCCAGGCUGUGUCCUCCCAUGUCAGAGACACAUCCCAGAGCCCAGGGCCUGCGUGGGCUGUAUCCACGGUUACUGAAUAGGGACAAACAGGCAUGCAUUGGCAGGGGCCGGUGGCUCAUUUCAGGAAAGUCCCUUCAGCAAGAGGAUUGUCUCCCCACUGGGGCUGAGGGCAGUGGCAGAAAGU